rnacentral:rRNA from 1 species
CCUACGGGAGACUGCAGUAGGGAAUUUUCGGCAAUGGGGGGAACCCUGACCGAGCAACGCCGCGUGAACGAAGAAGUUCCUAGUAAUGUAAAGCUUCUUUAAUAGGGAAGUAAGAGAAACUUGACGGUACCUGAAGAAUAUGCCCCGGCAAACUACGUGCCAGCAGUCGCGGUAAUACGUAGGGAGCGAGCGUUAUCUGGAAUUAUUGGGCGUAAGGGGUGCGUAGAUGGCAGAGUAAGUCUUUUGUAAAAUUGCUGGGCUAAACCCAGUAGGGCAAAAGAAACUGGAAGGCUAGAGUAAGACAGAGGCAAGUGGAACGAGUGGUGUAGCGGUGAAAUGCGUAGAUAU